CCCUUAGAUGUUCUGGGCUGCACGCGCGCUACACUGAUGCACUCAAUGAGUUUACGACCUUGCCCGAUAGGGUUGGGUAAUCUUUUUAAAAUGCAUCGUGAUGGGGAUAGAUUAUUGCAAUUAUUAAUCUUCAACGAGGAAUUCCUAGUAAGCGCGAGUCAUCAGCUCGUGCUGAUUACGUCCCUGCCCUUUGUACACACCGCCCGUCGCUCCUACCGAUUGAGUGCUCAGGUGAAUAAUUCGGACUGCAGCAAUGUUUGGAUCCCGAACGUUGCAGCGGAAAGUUUAGUGAACCUUAUCACUUAGAGGAAGGAGAAGUCGUAACA
rnacentral:rRNA from 1 species